rnacentral:rRNA from 1 species
GUCUGGUAAUGAUGGCAGAGAGGUCACACCCGUUCCCAUACCGAACACGGAAGUUAAGCUCUCUAGCGCCGAUGGUAGUUGGGGCCUUGCCCCUGUGAGAGUAGGACGUUGCCAGGC